CUGCGCCGAGCUCUGCCAUGGCGGCCUGGACGUGCUGCCGGGUGGCCGCCGUGUCCUGCCUGGUGCUCUGCGUCUCCCUCCUCCUGCCGCGCACCUUCCUGCCCCGGGCCGGCGGCAGGCAGGAGCCCGGCGCCGCGCCGCCCGAGGGGAAGCUCAGUCGCUUUCCACUGAGGAUGCAUUCCCACGCCACUCCCGACAGCCGAGCUGUCCCUCAUUUUCCAAGGUCUCACCUUACUGAAGCAGUUGCCAAAGCCAAGGCAGGUGGAGGUGGUAGUGGAAGCACUGGUGGAAGUGGAAGAGGCCUUGUGGGACAGAUUAUCCCUAUAUAUGGAUUUGGCAUCUUUUUAUAUAUUCUAUACAUUUUAUUUAAGCUGGCUUCCAAGGGAAGAACUACUCCCACAGAGCAGAAAUGCCCUCCUGCUACACCUGGGAACAUGAAGAGGAAAAUCACUGACUAUGAGCUCACUCAACUCCAGGAAAGACUGAGAGAGACAGAAGAAGCAAUGGAAAAAUUAAUCAACAGAGUAGGACCUAUGUAUGACAGGACUCAAAAUGUUACAACAGACCAGGAAAAAAUGCUACUUCAACAACUCAGAGAAAUUACUAGAGUUAUGAAAGAAGGAAAAUUCAUAGAUGACAUCUCUCCUGAGAAGGAAGCUGAGGAAGCUCCUUACAUGGCAGAUUGGGAAGGUUAUCCAGAAGAGACCUAUCCUGUCUACGAUAAUUCCGAUUGCUUCAAGUGCAAACAGGACACAAUCCUUGUAGAUUACCCUGACCUGAGCCAGCCCUCUCCAGAAGAGCUGGCAGAAAGAAUGGAGGGCAUGGAAGAUGAGGAGUAUCCUUAUGAUGAAACCCUGCUAAGUGAUCUCACCACAGGAAUGGGUGGUCAGGAUUUAAUGCAGAAAAAGGAUGAUGUAACUCUCGUCAAGGAGGAGAAGAGUGACCUUCCUCCCAGCCAGAGCACUGGGGAGUGCUGCUGUUGCUGUGAUGAUGAUCCUGCUGUCAUAGCAGAGAAUGCUGGAUUCCACUCUGAGAGCUGCAGUGAAGUAGAAGAGACAAGCCAAGAGGACCUGUCCGUGGAGUCAGAAAAUGAGAAUGCUACACUGGAAAAGCAAAAACCCAGUGAUUCAGAGGAGACAGGCACGCUGAGAAAGCGCAACACCAAAGUACUUGAUUGAUGAGCGACAACCAUCUGGAUGGUAAAGGUAGAGGUCAUCAACUGUCAUCCACCUCGGUUUUGUUCCCACUGAGGACUUCUCUGUGUUCAUUUCUUUGUACCUAUUGCAUUCUCAUGGUACCAGUCACAUCAUCUGCCUAAACUGGAAGGCAGUGCCCUCUUUCAUGCCCACUUAUCAUGGGUUACCAUGAUGCUGCCAGCAGUGCUUUGUCCUUGAUUUUUGAAGCCUUGUCUUUUGGAACAGAUAUUUGUGACUCGUUCCUUUUCAAUUCUGAAGGAGCUGUCCUUGGUUUUGCCCUUUGUCAUCCAGAGUUAACCAAAUGUCUCUUCUGGCUUUUUCAAAACAAUCUGUGUGCUACUAGUUAGAAGAGUUAAUCAAAUCCUUAUAUAUACAUGAGUUUACUGGGAUGCUGAAGGACAAAAUAUGCCUUCUUUCUCUUAGCUCGGUGUUAGCUGGUCAUCAGAGCAGAUCAUAGUCACACACAUGACUCUCUCAACUCUGUCAUUGCUCUCUACUCUUGAGAAACUGCUGUCACCACAAUCCACAAAGCUCCUCUGCUACCCCACAGCUCCUUUCCCAUUUAUUCCGUAUUGUUGGUAUGGUAGCCUAAUCCAUGUUGUGUUACUUGUGUGAGCAAGACUCAAGCUCUGUGAGUUGUGCUUUAACUUUGCCUUAGCUGUGGUGAAAUUCCCAGAUGAUUGCAGGAAGUGGACCACAAUGUGUGAGAGCACUAAAAAUAUCCCUGGAUAUUAAAACCAAAAGAGCAGUGUUAAGGUUUGUCUGUAAAGCAGAGAAGAGUAUGAGGAGGACCCUCAGACUGAAGAUAGCAGGUAGGCUUUUCCUUCUUCCUGGAAACCCGUGGAUUUUUUAUGCUCUUGGAAUGCUGUUGCCAGGGUCAUGUUGAGGCCACCCCAGGUAUAGGAUGAGGAGGGUGCUGGAGCCAAGGACUCCUAAGGACAGGUGGCAGGUCCCUGUGCCCAAGGGACGGCUUGUCUUGUACAAACAGCAUGGCAGGUGGGAUGGGCUCCAGGAAAGGUUCCCUCAGCUCUCAUUACUCUCCUGCUUCUCCCAUACCUGGGCACUUUUCAGGCCCACCAUAACCUGAUGUACUGGGCCACUCUCAUGGCCCAGUCACAGUGGCUGUUUGUGAUGUCACCAGUCCCCUGAGUGCUCUGGCACUACAGAAGCAGAUGUCUCCCUGUCCACCCAGCUCUGAGGCCCUUGAUGAAAGUCUGGAAGAAAGAAAAGCCAGAGCAGCGAGGCAGCUGGCAGACCACCUUUGCAAGGGAUGGCAGCAGGGCCCCUUCCAAUGAUGACCGAAGAGGAAGGUAUGUGCCAGGAGGAGGCCGUGGAAGAGAAGGAACAAAAUCACCCCUCUGCCACAAGUACCACCGCCCUCAGUUCCCUGGUCACGGCCAUGCAGAGCUUGGCUCUGUGCCCACCAGGGAAAGGUGUGCAGCCCAUGGACAUCGGCCUGCCAGGCAACCACCGGAGCAGUGAGCUGGGUGGCCGACCACCUUUGUGUGGGACAGCACAGAGACGUGUCCGGCAGCAGCCAAAGGGGGAGUCACUUUCCCUGGGCCUGAAAAAUGGCAAUCGACAGUGCAGGAGGAGGAGGGGAAGGAGAAGAAGGAGGAGCAUCAGCCCUUGCACCAUGAGAGCCAUUGCCAACAUGCGAGGAACGACAUCCAGCGUAUGCCUCCAGGAAUUCUGGAGGCUCAAAAUCCGCACCUGCCUGACUGAAAAAUAAGCAACAAGACAAGGAUGAAAAUCCUGUCAUCCUCCUUAUUUGGUACUUUGGUGACAGCACCUUUGCUCCCAUGACCCCUUAAGUAGGAGGUGGUUUUUAGAAAAUUUAGAAACUUUCCAGUUCCAUGCCCCUAUCCUGCUUUGCUGCUGCUAUCUUACACCCUGGGAUUUUUUAGGCUAUGACAUCAACAAAUUGAGACUAGUUUUUUUAAACUGAGUAAAGUUAUCAUAAUGAAGGCAUGGAGCCCUAGGAAUUUCUUCUUUGCAAACGUGCUAGGGAAUAUUAUGGAGUCCCAGCCUCCACACGGAGCCUGUCCUACUAGCUCAACCAUUCCAUCUCCUGGCAUCAACAAUCAUUUGUUGAUUGCCAUGCAUUAUAUAAGCCCUUCCUUCUCAUCCCCUACCCCACCCUUCCUGGAGCUCCUCAGGGAGACAUGAAUUGACUUGGCUUUCACCAGGCUACUGUGCUGAGGUGACAGGAGUUUUUCCCAAGAGGGCCACUGAGGUUCCUGGGGUCUGGAGGUGGGGUUGCUUCAGUCCGAGGUCAGCAACAAUCCCUGAUGAAUGAGUGAAGUCAGCCUUGCAUAAAGAAUAUUAGCAGACCAAGCCAAGAACGUAGACAACUGUUUCUUUGGCAAAGCAACAGAUGGCAGAAAGAAGUGCUAGCCUUCACAUGGAGGUCCCUUCUAGCUGCUUCAUAGGAAGUUCUUUUCAAUGUUGGGAAAUAAAUUUAAAAAAAAAACAAACCAAUAAACCAAAAAAAUAACAGCAAAAUUUCUUUCUUCCUCUCUUUUUUUGGGAUUUGGUGAGUGCCUAUGGAUUCCUCUGUCCCCUCUUGGUCUCCACAGCCCUGGAAAGGUACUAAUGUGUGGGGUACAGGUACAGCCCAGGCCUUGGAGAUGGUGAGGAGUUGGGGCCCACAGCACACAAGGGUAGGCUGAGGGAGCUACCUCUAGUCACGACGGUGGGGCAGUGGUGGAGUUGGUGCCCAGUGAAAGUGUGGAUGCCCCAUCCUUGUCAACAUUCAAGGUCAGGUUGGCUGGGGCUUUGGCCAAUCUGAUCUAGUGCCAGUCACACCCCAGUGUUCAAUCAAGCCCUUACAUCAUUCCCCAGUGCUUCCAAGGAAACGGUAGGAGAUGUGCUGGAGCUCUGCUGUGGAUACAGGCACAGCCCAGUGGGAUUGUCACAGACUGGUGAGUGUUCCCUGGGUGUCACUGGAACUGUGACACUCUGAGGCAGAGAGGAGCAUCCCAGGUAGGCAUCCCACCGCAUCUACACAUCCACCAUGGGCCUCUGGGACACUCUGCUUUAAUGAAAUUAAUUGGAUUCCCCUGGUCUGCACCAGCUCCAAGCCAGAUGCUGGGUGCCAGUCAAGCAAGGUGCCAGAGAGCCUCAAGAGCUCAUCCCUGAGGUGUCAAUGGCCUUGUCAGCCCCUCCCCAAGGACCAGUAAGUGCUCUCUGAACAUAGCCAGCCUUGUCUCCUGUAGCAGCUCACCAGCAGCCUUCAAACUGGGAUUCCUCCUGUUUGAAUAUUUCCUUUUCAUCCUUUGACUCAGCUUUCCCCCCUCUGAAACAGAAAUGUCUAUUUAGAGGAGCAUUUUAGAAAAGGACCAUCAAAUAUGUGUCUCCAGCUUUCUCAACUAUUAACUGCUCACUUCUACUACAGAACAUUCAUAAUUUGAAGGAGAGCUUUGCUGAUCAAAAUCAGGAUUCUCAAGAGAACUUUGAUGAAGUAAGUAAAUCAAAUCAUAGGUCAGAACAUCAGCAAAGCUGGAAAUUUGAGAAAAAGUCACAGAAGCUCAAGUGGAUGCCCAUUGGAAGCAGUCAGGCCCUUUAAAAGCACACGUUCCUUUACUUGUGAUGUUUCCCACCUGGCAAAUGAAUGGCUGUACUUUUUGUUAAUGCUAAAAGAAAGAGCACAUGUGUUGUUAAAACGAAAUAUUAUGAUAAAACUAGAUUUUAAAACCCA